AUUGACCUCCGUCUUCAACACCAAAAGUAACCCCUUCACUUCUGAUUGUCUGCCCCCCUCUUUUUUAGACAAUGGAACAUUCCAGAGGCGAGUGGCACCUAAGAGGAUGCUUGAGCAUGCGCAACGCUUCUGCAGUGCACCGCGCCCAGGACCAGGCUGGUAGCAGGGAAAAGCUCUAUAGCGCCCCGUGCAGUGCCUCCUACAUCUGUGUUCUACACUGGUCCCUGAAACUGCCACAGAUCAAGACAUCUUCAUUUUCAGGUGCACUGGGAUUACCAAAGGAUGUCAGCACAACACUCAAAUUAACUGGCCUGAUCCUGUUCUAGAUUUGCCAUUUACUACACUUGGAGAAAGAUUGGGCCCAAUGUUUGCAUGUUAACUGUUGAUUCUGGAAUAUAAACAAUUUCCCCCCAAAUAGAAUUAAAGCCAGUGCAAGAUUGUGC
rnacentral:lncRNA from 1 species